rnacentral:lncRNA from 1 species
ACAGCUUUGCUAGAAUGGAGUCUACUCCCUUCCCUCCCAUUCUAUGCAAUCGAUUCACAGUACAAUGCCAGUUCGGAUUGAUAUGAUUUUCCACAAGAUGUCGCGCCAGACCCUCCUAAACCGUGUACGAGAAUGGACAAGCAAAGAAUAAAUGGUCUCUUGUCUCAUCUUUCUCCCCACAAAGCUCAUAUCUCUGCACCAUACCCCAUUAUCUCAUUCUAUCCCCAGUAGAUAAUCUGUUCUGUACGGCUAACCAUGUAAUAAGGAGAACCGAGGAACCCCUUCUGUGAACCAAACAACUUUGCU